rnacentral:rRNA from 1 species
GGUGGGGGAUGGACUCGCGGCCUAUCAGCUUGUUGGUGAGGUAAUGGCUUACCAAGGCGACGACGGGUAGCCGGCCUGAGAGGGUGACCGGCCACACUGGGACUGAGACACGGCCCAGACUCCUACGGGAGGCAGCAGUGGGGAAUAUUGCACAAUGGGCGCAAGCCUGAUGCAGCAACGCCGCGUGAGGGAUGACGGCCUUCGGGUUGUAAACCUCUUUUGGCAGGGAAGAAGCGAGAGUGACGGUACCUGCAGAAAAAGCACCGGCUAACUACGUGCCAGCAGCCGCGGUAAUACGUAGGGUGCGAGCGUUGUCCGGAAUUAUUGGGCGUAAAGAGCUCGUAGGCGGUCUGUCGCGUCUGCUGUGAAAUCCCGAGGCUCAACCUCGGGUCUGCAGUGGGUACGGGCAGACUAGAGUGCGGUAGGGGAGAAUGGAACUCCUGGUGUAGCGGUGGAAUGCGCAGAUAUCAGGAAGAACACCGAUGGCGAAGGCAGUUCUCUGGGCCGUAACUGACGCUGAGGAGCGAAAGCGUGGGGAGCGAACAGGAUUAGAUACCCUGGUAGUCCACGCCGUAAACGUUGGGCGCUAGAUGUGGGGACCAUUCCACGGUUUCCGUGUCGCAGC